rnacentral:misc_RNA from 1 species
AAGUCGUAACAAGGUCUCCGUUGGUGAACCAGCGGAGGGAUCAUUACAGAGUUCUUUCACGAGACUCCCAAACCAUUGUGAACAUACCCGUCAUCGUUGCCUCGGCGGGCGUCCCCUCGGGGGUGUCCGCCGCUGGCCCACCAAACUCUUUUUAUUGUUAGGGACUCUCUGAGACAACAAGCAAAUAAGUUAAAACUUUCAACAACGGAUCUCUUGGUUCUG